CUGAAAGCUGAAUUAGCAAGAAAAUUGUAGUGAUUCACUGUGCAAAUUUCAGAGGUUAAUACUGUGAUUAACUGUCAGACUGAGCCCUAUUCAACUCAGCAAUGAAUAAUCAAUAGGGAAAUACAUAAGUGUCUUGGUUUAGGACAAAUUAGGGGAAAUCUCUGAAAGGGAGUCUCCUAAAACAAACUUCCAACUACCCUUCUCUCAAUACGGGGUUCGGGAAGGAAUUUCUCGGAGGAGCAAAGUGGAAAAUAAAAUUUAUUUAAUAACAAGUAACAAAGGAACACUCCCCAACACAAGAAAAGAAAAAGAAACUAGGCAGUGUUGUGGAGGGUGCUGAUCUUCUUCUCGCAGACUCCGGGGGGUCCUGGACGUCUCAGGUCAGGUCCGGAGCCGGUACGGUAUCUUCAGGGGAGGGUAAGAAAGAGGGAAAGGGAAAAAAAAGAAGAGCGCAAAAGAAAGCAAGCUAGCCAAGCUAAGCAGCAGCAGCAAGCAAAAGCAAAAGCAGCCAGCAAGCUAAGCAGCAGCAGCCAGCCAGCCAAAAGCCAAAGCCGAGGUGCCCGGUCACCCUCACCCCCCCCUCCCCGCCCCGCCGCGGCAAGACGGCCGGGGGGGUGGGGGGGAAGAAAGGCCAGACGCAACACACGAUAUUGGGAUAAAGGCUGUCACCCCACGACAAUAAGAAAUCCGACUUUUGCACAUUUGUCUCAAAUGUUCAAUGCUGGCUGGCAUCAUUUCCCUGCCAUUAAAUUCAAGAGGCUCAAGAAAUACACACCUUAAAUAUUACAUCUAAGCUGCUCCAGAGGAAAAUGUGGUAUUUUUAUAGCUCAUUUUCUUUGUUUAAGUCACAGUGAAAUCACACCACGACACAAGGCAGCAGAUAAACGUAAAAAACCUCAUUUCAAAAACUGAAACUUCCAGAGGUCAUUUAUGUAGGAAUUCCUAAUACCACAGGGAACAGUUACCAAUCUGAUCUUUCAUUUCAGUGCCUCUUGCACCUUACAAUCUCAGUUCUCAUUUCUGUUAAAUACAUAAUACAAAAUACAGGAAUUUUUUUUAAAGAGAGAGAAAAGAAUCUUACGUCAUAGUUGCUCCUGGGUCAGCAGUCAUCUGGUUGGUCACAAACACAGCCACAUUAUAUUCUGCAAGAGAAGACAUUGCAAAGAAGGUAGACUUAAUCUAAUUAGAAUUGUAAAAUAUUUUCUCAUCCAUGGUAAAAGCAAGGUUUCUGCUGAAGCACGUCAAAUUUCAAAUGAAUGAGAAGAAAAUAUUCUUUAUGACUGAUGGCUGCAGUUAAUCAGGGCCACAACCUAGAUUUGCUCUUGCAUGGCUUCAGCUAUAAUACACCAAAAAUGAGCCCUUUUCACAAUUCCAGUGAACAAGUCUUUCUCAGUUCCCAUCUAUUCUCUGUUGGCUCCCUGCCCUCAGCUCCCUCUCCUUCCCUUUCUCUGUUUGCUUUUUUUUUUUUUUCACUUCAGGAAAAAAGCAUUUAUUCAUUCCUCAUCAACAUUUCUGAGACAUUCCACAGGGAAAGAACUCUAUUAAUCCUGUCAUCAUCCCUCAAAGCAUUGCAAAGUACUGAGAAAGUGGCAAGAGCCAACUCUCCACGGCCACUGAAAUCCACACGGAAAAGUGCCAUUAUGGAGUCAAUGAUCUGCAUUGUAAUCAUGCUGGAUGGUGUGUUUCACUGGUUUAUCUAAGACAGCCUAUUAACUUCACUCUCCUUAUGGCAAAACCUUCAUGGAUGUGAGCAGUAUUAAAAAGUAACAAUUUAUAUGAAUUCUCUACUCAAACACAGUUUAUGGAGGGUGCCGCUCACGCAUCUUCCUCAACAAGGCACACACGGCGUUUUUGGAUUGGAUGGCCAAAACCUGUCAGGGAGCUGGAAGGGAAAUGACUUGACUGGAGUCACAGGACAAGAAAAUGAGCCUGAGUCAUACACAUGACUUCAUCUGCCAUUUUAAAAGGAUGGAAAAGGUGCUUUUUAGGAUAGGAACACUUCUGUGAGACAUCUGCAGGCUUCUUUGAGACGGUAUUUGGAAAGCAAUCGCCCGUUUUAGCUCGCCUCUGGUGGCACAGUUGGUACGGGACUGCAUCUCAAGGAGACAUCGCAUCUCCUGCGAGCAGGAGGAGUUCCUGGCUGCCCCUUGUGUGGGCUUGGAAUGGCAGAAGGGAUUGGAGCAGCAUCUCAGCCUGUUCCAAGGGGCUUGUGAAAACUUCCCCACCCUCUGCCUGUGGGAGGUCAAGGGCACCUUUUCCAAGCCAUUUCUUAGCCAAGUCAGGAAACCAAGAAACGAAACCCAGGGCCCUGUGCCAUCAUCAGUACCCCACAGGAGUGCUCGCAAGGUCCCCAUUCGAAAUAUCGAGCAAUUUCUAUAAGAACCAAAAGUCCAAUCCUGGGAGCCCAAGGCUUUGUCUGUACAGAGGAAGCAGCUGGCACAGCUUUUGAAAACCACAUUAUUCUGCAAGAGCUAUUCCAGAAGACCACUUAGCCAGACAGCCCUUUAAAGGUGAAUUCCUUCACAAAGUAUGCUUUUAUUCCAGAACAGAAUGAAGAGAGUGACCCUUCUGGUGCUGCUGAGCAGCUCAGCAGCAGAAAAUAUCUCACUCUACAAACAACCUUCCCUUCAUUAUCCUUUUAGUUUGUAAAAUGGUUCUCAGAAAGGUCAAUGAAUGCACAGAAUCUUCAGACCAUUUCCCACUCCAAAGAGCUACUUUGGGCAAUAAAUCACAUUCUACAACUUCAAAACAUUGUGUGAUCAUUAAUUGCUCAUUUGGCUCCCAGCUGGUGUUUUACACUAACCCCACAGAGCCCAUACUGUAGAGGCACCCUUCUGUCUUCUCCUUCCAUUUCACAGGUUCUGCUGCUGACCAAUGCAUCUCCAUCCCUGAGGGACGUACUGGAAUGAAACACACAGCUGUGACGUGCAUUUCCUCUCACUUGAGAUCUUGUACCUGUUUGGACAAGAACCAAGGCAAACCAUUACCAUAAAAUAUUAAGUAUCCAGCUGAUUUUUUUUCAUCCUCACAAACUUCAUUCAUAGUUGCAAUAGAGAAAUCAUGAGGGGUUUUGUUGUUGGGGUUUUGUUUUCCGUCUCUGGUCAGAGUUAAGAUGAGCUGUAAAAGUGCUGUGCAUACAGUGGGUCUCAGGGUAGGAGUGGCAGAAUAUCAGAUCAGCCAAGCUUUGAAAUUCAGACUGAAGUAACAGGAGACCUCUAUUGGUAAAAUGGAAUCACUGGAAGGAAUAGAGAUGGUACUGAAGGGACUGAGUUAUGUCUCCAUUGUACUCUUGAAAUCCUCAGGUUAAACCUUGACAAAAGUAUUCAAUACUACAGUAUUGGGAGUGAUCCUGCAUUAAAAAGACAAAUUAAAAGGUAGAUUUUGCUACCUCUAAUUUAUUUUGAGCUAAUCACUAAGGGUAUAUUAUAGGAUUAGAAACCUCCCUUCUGUCUAUCAAGAUGUCCUGUCUGGACCACAGUUCAGCAUUGCAGCUAUGAAGGAAGCGAUUAAUUAGAGGGCUGUACCCACUGAUACUAAAGAGAGGUCAGGUCAAGUCAGGAACACAACAGAUUGUAUGUGACUGGAAAAGAAGAUAACAGUAAUAUCAAACACCAACUAGAGAAUUCAGGAAUGGGUAUUUUUCUAAAUGAGAAAUAAAUAAUCUGUAUGUCAAGUAUUCAAACACAACAUAGUAAGCCAACAUAGCAGUCCAAACCCCACAACAUUCACUUUUUUUAUAGGUUAUUGUGAAAUUAGGAUUUCUUUAUACAUUUAAUUAAGAAUGACAUGAUAAUUUUAUUUUUUUUUAAAGCAAACUGGAAAAAACAAGGCCACUUGCAAUUGUUGAAAAACCUAAACUCCUCUAGAGUUAGAGAAUUUAUGGAGACAUACAUCAGUAUAUCACAUGUGAUCUACCAAAAAUACAAAGGAGAUAAGAAAAACUGUCCAUUUUGAGAAUGCACAAGGAAUUUUUUAUUUAAGAUUAAAAAAACCAAACUGGUAAUAGAGAACAAUAGGACUGAAAGAGACAUCAAGAGAUUAUAUAUCUCAAAGCAGAGUCUGAUGUCCAUUUGGCUGGGGAGGCUAUGGAUUUUCUUUUAUCUUUUGAGAAAGAACUAGACAAUUUCAGUCCUUGCCCAUCCUUGCCAUUACCCUUGCUGUCUACCCUUCACUGUGCUGUACAAUUUUAUCUGUAAAAAAUAUGCAGUAUUUGAGCUAACUUCUACUUUUAAAAGUUUUUCAAGUUUAGGUAACAGAGACUCUAAUUCUUGCAUGCUUUUUUCUGCCCCAAAAGAGAAAAAAAAUGCCAGCAUAAUCAAUUCUUUAAAAAUGCCCAUGUAGGAAAGACAUUCUGUGCUGUUUUUGUGAGCUAGCAAAGGCCUCCAGAAGAUAAGGAAGCCCUAUAUCUCUCCUGAAGGAAGACACCAAGGUUGUCACCAUGGAGACAGGAUGAAGGAGAGAAAGUUAGGAGAUACGGACUCUGGCUAGCUCACAGAGUGACGUGGCUCCCCAGUAACCUACUGGGAACUUUGUUUCUCUUAGAUGACCAAUGGGCACUGAAUGUGUAUG